rnacentral:rRNA from 1 species
CGCGCAGAACCUUACCAGCCCUUGACAUGUCCAGGACCGGUCGCAGAGAUGUGACCCUCUYUUYGGAGCCUGGAACACAGGUGSUGCAUGGCUGUYGUCAGCUCGUKUCGUGAGAUGUUGGGUUAAGUCCCGCAACGAGCGCAACCCCCGUCCUUAGUUGCUACCAUUUAGUUGAGCACUCUAAGGAGACUGCCGGUGAUAAGCCGCGAGGAAGGUGGGGAUGACGUCAAGUCCUCAUGGCCCUUACGGGCUGGGCUACACACGUGCUACAAUGGCGGUGACAAUGGGAUGCUAAGGGGCGACCCUUYGCAAAUCUCAAAAAGCCGUCUCAGUUYGGAUUGGGCUCUGCAACUCGAGCCCAUGAAGUUGGAAUCGCUAGUAAUYGUGGAUCAGCACGCCACGGUGAAUACGUUCCCGGGCCUUGUACACACCGCCCGUCACACCAUGGGAGUUGGCUUUACCUGAAGACGGUGCGCUAACCAGCAAUGGAGGCAGCCGGCCACGUAGKUACGSSU